CCUACGGGAGGCAGCAGUCGAGAAUCUUCGGCAAUGGACGCAAGUCUGACCGAGCGACGCCGCGUGCGGGAUGAAGGCCUUCGGGUUGUAAACCGCUGUCAGAGGGGAUGAAGUGUACGGGAGUUAUCUCCUGUAUUUGACAGAGCCUCAGAGGAAGCACGGGCUAAGUUCGUGCCAGCAGCCGCGGUAAUACGAACUGUGCGAACGUUAUUCGGAAUCACUGGGCUUAAAGGGUGCGUAGGCGGCUGCCUAAGUCAGGUGUGAAACUCUCUCGGCUCAACCGGGAAACUGCGCUUGAUACUGGGCGGCUCGAGUGAGGUAGGGUGUGUGGAACUUCCGGUGGAGCGGUGAAAUGUGUAGAUAUCGGGAGGAACGCCAGCAGCGAAAGCGGCACACUGGGCCUUUUCUGACGCUGAGGCACGAAAGCUAGGGGAGCGAACGGGAUUAGAUACCCCGGUAGUCCUAGCCGUAAACACUGUACACUCGAGGAGGGGGUCGGUUCGGUCCGUUCCUUUCUUCUUACGUCGAAGACGUUAACGUUAGUUCCGUCCGUCGGGUAGGUAGUAGGUCGGCGAGGACGUGAACGUAACGAAGUAAAGUAGUAGACGCGNGAGAGACGACGACGACGACGACGGAGGAGGAGG
rnacentral:rRNA from 1 species